UACAUGGGGUGCAAACGUUGCUCGGAAUCAUUGGGCGUAAAGCGCGCGUAGGCGGUUACUUACGUCGGACGUGAAAUCCCUCGGCUCAACCGGGGAACUGCGUCCGAUACUGGAUGGCUUGAAUUCGGGAGAGGGAUGCGGAAUUCCAGGUGUAGCGGUGAAAUGCGUAGAUAUCUGGAGGAACACCGGUGGCGAAGGCGGCAUCCUGGACCGAGAUUGACGCUGAUGCGCGAAAGCCAGGGGAGCAAACGGG
rnacentral:rRNA from 1 species